rnacentral:lncRNA from 1 species
ACGUCUGAUAUUUUAUUACAAUAUUACAAUUAUAGAUUACAGUAAUUGCAACGUUAAAUCCUAUUAAAGCAGAAUUGGAAACAUUCUGGUAUACAACUCUUUCACUGCCAAUUGACAACCAACAUUGUACACUAGACAGCAUUGUCAAUGGUGAAUUGGAAAAUAAAAUAGAACAAACUCGAGCAUAUAACAUACAUCCACAAGAAACAACUGUACACAGUUCAAAUAGAAUUGAAUCUACUUCUUCUGGUACUUCAGACUAUGUAACUAAACAAGAUAUGGAACAGAUAUUCAAUGUACACAGACAAGAUGUCUUUGGUUUCUACGACAGCUUGAAAACA